GAACGAACGCUGGCGGCGCGCCUAAUACAUGCAAGUCGAGCGAGAAGACGUAGCAAUACGUUUGUAAAGCGGCGAACGGGUGAGGAAUACAUGGGUAACCUACCCUCGAGUGGGGAAUAACUAGCCGAAAGGUUAGCUAAUACCGCAUACGACUCCUGGUCUGCGGAUCGGGAGGGAAAGCGAUACCGUGGGUAUCGCGCUCUUGGAUGGGCUCAUGUCCUAUCAGCUUGUUGGUGAGGUAAUGGCUCACCAAGGCUUCGACGGGUAGCUGGUCUGAGAGGACGAUCAGCCACACUGGUACUGACACACGGACCAGAUGCCUACGGGUAGCAGCAGCUAGGAAUAUUGGGCAAUGGGCGAAAGCCUGACCCAGCAACACCGCGUGAAGGACGACGGCCUUCGGGUUGUAAACUUCUUUUCGAGGGAAUGAGAAAGGACAGUACCCUCGGAAUAAGGCCCGGCUAACUACGUGCCAGCAGCCGCGGUAAUACGUAGGGGCCAAGCGUUAUCCGGAUUUACUGGGCGUAAAGCGCAUGUAGGCAGUUGACUAAGUCGGAUGUGAAAGCUCCUGGCUUAACUGGGAGAGGUCAUUCGAAACUAGUCGGCUGGAGGGUGGUAGAGGAGAGCGGAAUUCCAGGUGUAGCGGUGAAAUGCGUAGAUAUCUGGAGGAACACCAGUGGCGAAAGCGGCUCUCUGGACCAUUCCUGACGCUGAGAUGCGAAAGCCAGGGGAGAGAACGGGAUUAGAAACCCCGGUAUUCCUGGCCGUAAACGAUGUCAACUAGGCGUAGGAGGUUAUAAACCCCUUCUGUGCUGUAGCAAACGCGUUAAGUUGACCGCCUGGGGACUACGGCCGCAAGGCUAAAACUCAAAGGAAUUGACGGGUCCCCGCACAAGCAGCGGAGCGUGUGGUUUAAUUCGAGGCUACACGAAGAACCUUACCAGGGUUUGACAUGCUAGUGGUAGUGAAGUGAAAACGGAACGACCCUUCGGGGAGCUAGCACAGGUGCUGCAUGGCUGUCGUCAGCUCGUGUCGUGAGAUGUCAGGUUAAGUCCUGUAACGAGCGCAACCCUCGUCGUUAGUUAUACGUGUCUAACGAGACUGCCCGUGAUAAGCGGGAGGAAGGUGAGGAUGACGUCAAGUCAGCAUGGCCUUUAUAUCCUGGGCUACACACACGCUACAAUGGCCAGUACAAUGGGCAGCCAAGCCGCGAGGCGGAGCCAAUCCCGUAAAGCUGGUCUCAGUUCGGAUUGCAGGCUGCAACUCGCCUGCAUGAAGUCGGAGUUGCUAGUAACCGCGCGUCAGCCAUAGUGCGGUGAAUACGUUCCCGGGGAU
rnacentral:rRNA from 1 species